CUAGGGUUUGAGGUCCAUUAAGGUUUUCAUUAUUCUUGCUAGCACAAGAGAAAACCCUAGAGGCUGCAAUCAUAUUCUCUGUGUGGAUCACCGUUGGAGGCUGGACAAUUGGACAGCUGUGGUGGCAAAUCAAAGUUGUGGAACGAAAAGAAAAGCAAAAGGAUUGCAGAUCUGAAAAAGGUACAAUCUUAUCACAAUU
rnacentral:lncRNA from 1 species